rnacentral:rRNA from 1 species
GUCUGCCGUGAAAAUUCGAGGCUCAACCUCGAACUUGCGGUGGGUACGGGCAGACUAGAGUGUGGUAGGGGAGACUGGAAUUCCUGGUGUAGCGGUGAAAUGCGCAGAUAUCAGGAGGAACACCGAUGGCGAAGGCAGGUCUCUGGGCCACUACUGACGCUGAGAAGCGAAAGCAUGGGGAGCGAACAGGAUUAGAUACCCUGGUAGUCCAUGCCGUAAACGUUGGGAACUAGGUGUGGGUCUCAUUCCACGAGAUCCGUGCCGCAGCUAACGCAUUAAGUUCCCCGCCUGGGGAGUACGGCCGCAAGGCUAAAACUCAAAGGAAUUGACGGGGGCCCGCACAAGCGGCGGAGCAUGCGGAUUAAUUCGAUGCAACGCGAAGAACCUUACCAAGGCUUGACAUAUGCGAGAACGCGGCAGAGAUGUCGUUCUCUUUGGACACUCGCAUACAGGUGGUGCAUGGUUGUCGUCAGCUCGUGUCGUGAGAUGUUGGGUUAAGUCCCGCAACGAGCGC